rnacentral:rRNA from 1 species
AAGGCGCUUUCGGGUGUCACUGAUGGAUGGACCCGCGGUGCAUUAGCUAGUUGGUGAGGUAACGGCUCACCAAGGCCACGAUGCAUAGCCGACCUGAGAGGGUGAUCGGCCACAUUGGGACUGAGACACGGCCCAAACUCCUACGGGAGGCAGCAGUAGGGAAUCUUCGGCAAUGGACGAAAGUCUGACCGAGCAACGCCGCGUGAGUGAAGAAGGUUUUCGGAUCGUAAAACUCUGUUGUUAGAGAAGAACAAGGAUGAGAGUAACUGUUCAUCCCUUGACGGUAUCUAACCAGAAAGCCACGGCUAACUACGUGCCAGCAGCCGCGGUAAUACGUAGGUGGCAAGCGUUGUCCGGAUUUAUUGGGCGUAAAGCGAGCGCAGGCGGUUUCUUAAGUCUGAUGUGAAAGCCCCCGGCUCAACCGGGGAGGGUCAUUGGAAACUGGGAGACUUGAGUGCAGAAGAGGAGAGUGGAAUUCCAUGUGUAGCGGUGAAAUGCGUAGAUAUAUGGAGGAACACCAGUGGCGAAGGCGGCUCUCUGGUCUGUAACUGACGCUGAGGCUCGAAAGCGUGGGGAGCAAACAGGAUUAGAUACCCUGGUAGUCCACGCCGUAAACGAUGAGUGCUAAGUGUUGGAGGGUUUCCGCCCUUCAGUGCUGCAGCUAACGCAUUAAGCACUCCGCCUGGGGAGUACGACCGCAAGGUUGAAACUCAAAGGAAUUGACGGGGGCCCGCACAAGCGGUGGAGCAUGUGGUUUAAUUCGAAGCAACGCGAAGAACCUUACCAGGUCUUGACAUCCUUUGACCACUCUAGAGAUAGAGCUUCCCCUUCGGGGGCAAAGUGACAGGUGGUGCAUGGUUGUCGUCAGCUCGUGUCGUGAGAUGUUGGGUUAAGUCCCGCAACGAGCGCAACCCUUAUUGUUAGUUGCCAUCAUUCAGUUGGGCACUCUAGCAAGACUGCCGGUGACAAACCGGAGGAAGGUGGGGAUGACGUCAAAUCAUCAUGCCCCUUAUGACCUGGGCUACACACGUGCUACAAUGGGAAGUACAACGAGUUGCGAAGUCGCGAGGCUAAGCUAAUCUCUUAAAGCUUCUCUCAGUUCGGAUUGCAGGCUGCAACUCGCCUGCAUGAAGCCGGAAUCGCUAGUAAUCGCGGAUCAGCACGCCGCGGUGAAUACGUUCCCGGGCCUUGUACACACCGCCCGUCACACCACGAGAGUUUGUAACACCCGAAGUCGGUGAGGUAACCUUUUGGAGCCAGACGCCUAAGGUGGGAUAGAUGAUUGGGGUGAAGUCGUAACAAGGUAGCCGUAUCGGAAGGUGCGGCUGGAUCACCUCCUUU